rnacentral:rRNA from 1 species
UACGUAGGGUGCAAGCGUUGUCCGGAAUUAUUGGGCGUAAAGAGCUCGUAGGCGGUCUGUCGCGUCUGAUGUGAAAACUCAAGGCUUAACCUUGGGCCUGCAUCGGGUACGGGCAGACUAGAGUGUGGUAGGGGAGACUGGAAUUCCUGGUGUAGCGGUGAAAUGCGCAGAUAUCAGGAAGAACACCCGUGGCGAAAGCGGCUCUCUGGAGCGGUACUGACGCUGAGACGCGAAAGCGUGGGGAGCGAACAGG